rnacentral:rRNA from 1 species
UACGUAGGGGGCUAGCGUUGUCCGGAUUUAUUGGGCGUAAAGAGCGUGUAGGCGGCCAGAUAGGUCUGCUGUGAAAACUCGAGGCUCAACCUCGAGAUGUCGGCGGAAACCAUUUGGCUAGAGUCCGGAAGAGGAAAGUGGAAUUCCUGGUGUAGCGGUGGAAUGCGCAGAUAUCAGGAGGAACACCAAUAGCGAAGGCAGCUCGCUGGGACGGUACUGACGCUGAGGCGCGAAAGCGUGGGGAGCGAACAGG